GAUGAACGCUGGCGGCGUGCCUAAUACAUGCAAGUCGAGCGAACGGACGAGAAGCUUGCUUUUCUGAUGUUAGCGGCGGACGGGUGAGUAACACGUGGAUAACCUACCUAUAAGACUGGGAUAACUUCGGGAAACCGGAGCUAAUACCGGAUAAUAUUUUGAACCGCAUGGUUCAAAAGUGAAAGACGGUCUUGCUGUCACUUAUAGAUGGAUCCGCGCUGCAUUAGCUAGUUGGUAAGGUAACGGCUUACCAAGGCAACGAUGCAUAGCCGACCUGAGAGGGUGAUCGGCCACACUGGAACUGGAACACGGUCCAGACUCCUACGGGAGGCAGCAGUAGGGAAUCUUCCGCAAUGGGCGAAAGCCUGACGGAGCAACGCCGCGUGAGUGAUGAAGGUCUUCGGAUCGUAAAACUCUGUUAUUAGGGAAGAACAUAUGUGUAAGUAACUGUGCACAUCUUGACGGUACCUAAUCAGAAAGCCACGGCUAACUACGUG
rnacentral:rRNA from 1 species